rnacentral:rRNA from 2 species
AAACGACUCUCGGCAACGGAUAUCUCGGCUCUCGCAUCGAUGAAGAACGUAGCGAAAUGCGAUACUUGGUGUGAAUUGCAGAAUCCCGUGAACCAUCGAGUCUUUGAACGCAAGUUGCGCCCCAAGCCACCAGGCCGAGGGCACGCCUGCCUGGGUGUCAUGC